rnacentral:rRNA from 1 species
UACGUAGGGACCAAGCGUUGUUCGGAUUUACUGGGCGUAAAGGGCGCGUAGGCGGUCCUUUAAGUCUGAUGUGAAAGCCCACGGCUCAACCGUGGAGGGUCAUUGGAAACUGGGGGACUUGAGUGCAGAAGAGGAAAGCGGAAUUCCACGUGUAGCGGUGAAAUGCGUAGAGAUGUGGAGGAACACCAGUGGCGAAGGCGGCUUUCUGGUCUGUAACUGACGCUGAGGCGCGACAGCGUGGGGAGCAAACAGG